rnacentral:snRNA from 1 species
AGCUUUGUGCAGUGGCAGUAUUGUAACCAAUGAGGUUUAUCGGAGGUGCGAUUAUUGCUAAUUGAAAACUUUUCCUAAUACCCCGCCAUGACGACUUGAAAAAUCUGUUAAAGAA